AGGCCGGGCGUGGUGGCUCGCGCCUGUAAUCCCAGCACUUUGGGAGGCCGAGGCGGGAGGAUCACGAGGUCAGGAGAUCGAGACCUUCCUGGCUAACACCGUGAAACCCCGUCUCUACUAAAAAUACAAAAAGAAAUUAGCCGGGCGUGGUGGCAGGUGCCUGUAAUCCCAGCUACUCGGGAGGCUGAGGCAGGAGAAUGGCGUGAACCCGGGAGGCGAAGCUUGCAGUGAGCAGAGAUCGUGCCACUGCACUCCAGCCUGGGUGAUAGAGCAAGACUCUGUCUCAAAAAAAAAAAAAAAAAGAAAAGAAAUUUCAACCAGGAAUACUUAACAAAGAAAAAGAGGCCUUUGGACCCCAUUAAAAUCAUGGAUGACUGGCCGGGCACAGUGCUUCACACUUGUAAUCCCAGCACUGUGGGAGGCCGAGGAAGGUGGAUCGCCUAAGGUCAGGAGUUCGAGACCAGCCUGGCCAACAUGGUGAAACCCCGUCGCUACUAAAAAUACAAAAAAUAGCUGGGCACAGUGGCUGGCGCCUGUAAUCCAGUUACUUGGGAGGCUGAGGCAGGAGAAUCACUUGAACCUGAGAGGCCAAGGUUGCAGUGAGCCAAGAUCGCUACACUCAAGCCUGGGUGACAGAGCAAGACUCUGUCUCCAAAAAAAAAGAGAAAGAAACACAUUCCUGUGGGCCUCAUAGGUACAGGAUGUUCCACACUGUUCUAACAGAAACAUCUCAGUUUCUUGGGACCCUUGAGUAUAAAGCUCUGGGGUCAACAUCAAAUGGGAACAAACUUGCAGCCUAACUCUGGACAUUUGGGGAGUCAAAUAGCCAUUUGGAGGGUCGAGGAAAAAAGUUGAAAUGUGAAAGAAGAGCCAAAAGAGAAUAGAGUAAGAUUAAGUAUAUAGAAAGUUCUCAGUAAAUGCUUAUUUAAUUGGAAUAAAUCAGGAUAAAAGAGUAGAGUCUGAUUUGGAAGUAACCUUUUAUUUUAUUUUAUUAUUAUUAUUAUUAUUAUUAUUAUUUUUGAGACCGAGUCCUGCUCUGUCACCCAGAGCAGGGUGCAAUCUCAGCUCACUACAACCUCUACCUACUGGGUUCAAGCAAUCCUCCUGCUUCAGCCUCCCGAAUAGCUGGGAUUACAGGCAUGCACCACCACACCCGGCUAAUUUUUAUAUUAUUAAUAGAGACGGGGUUUCACCAUGUUGCCCAGGCUGGUCUCGAACUCUUGAGCUCAAGUGAUCUGCCCACCUUGGCCUCUCAAAGUGCUGGGAUUACAGGCACGCGCCACCAGGCCCAGCCUGGAAGUAACCAUUUAUUUGAGGAGAAAGAAGAGAAUGAGAUGGAAUGACAUCCUGCCACUAUUUCUAAGAGGCUGAAGGAAGCUGAAGGACAAGGGGAUAGUGAGACCAUCUCUCCCAGUUUCCAGAACAGAGGAUAAUGGAAAGACGAUGGUACUGGCUGAACAUGACCACCCAAAGCAUCUGCUGCUUCCACUUAAGAGUCUCAGACCAAUGACUUUAGAAAACGCCCAGCCCCGUCUCUUAC
rnacentral:lncRNA from 1 species